UACGUAGGGUGCGAGCGUUAAUCGGAAUUACUGGGCGUAAAGCGUGCGCAGGCGGUUUUAUAAGCCAGAUGUGAAAGCCCCGGGCUCAACCUGGGAAUGGCAUUUGGGACUGUAAGGCUGGAGUAUGGCAGAGGGGACUAGAAUUCCUGGUGUAGCAGUGAAAUGCGUAGAUAUCAGGAGGAAUACCGAUGGCGAAGGCAGGUCCCUGGGCCAACACUGACGCUGAGUGAGCGAAAGCGUGGGGAGCGAACAGG
rnacentral:rRNA from 1 species